rnacentral:rRNA from 1 species
UACAGAGGUCCCAAGCGUUGUUCGGAUUCACUGGGCGUAAAGGGUGCGUAGGUGGUGAGGUAAGUCGGAUGUGAAAGCUCGGAGCUCAACUCCGAAAUGGCAUUGGAAACUACCUUGCUCGAGGGUUGGAGGGGGGACUGGAAUACUUGGUGUAGCAGUGAAAUGCGUAGAUAUCAAGUGGAACACCAGUGGCGAAGGCGAGUCCCCUGGACAACUCCUGACACUGAGGCACGAAAGCUAGGGGAGCAAACAGG